GCACCGAUAGUUUAAGGGUAGAAUGCUUGCCUUCCAUCUGAUUUGAACUUCGACGGACAGCAAGCGACAGGGGUUCGAGUCCCCUUCGGCGCA